AGAAGACACCCCCCACAAGAUGUCACAUCCGCAUCCAGCUCUGCAGGAUCAGACGAUACUGAAAACAAACUGCGUGGUGAACUGGGGAGCAGAUGUUCUUCUAAGGGACACCCUAGAGGCAGCAAUGUGGUUGAACUCCAAAUAUUUAAAUGCACUGUUUCCCUACCUAGAAAAUGGUUGUCUUUGCCUCUUUUGAGGAGCAGGAGUGAAUGGUUGGCUGUGUUUUGCUACCACCAGAAACUUUGAAGAUUACCCAUUUAG